rnacentral:tRNA from 1 species
GAGGGCAUGGCUCAGUGGUAGAAUAUGGGCUUAGCAUGCAUGAGGUCCUGGGUUCAAUCCCCCGUGCCUCCA